rnacentral:rRNA from 1 species
UGGGGAAUAUUGGGCAAUGGGCGCAAGCCUGACCCAGCCAUGCCGCGUGAGUGACGAAGGCCUUAGGGUUGUAAAGCUCUUUUGGCGGGGACGAUAAUGACGGUACCCGCAGAAUAAGCCCCGGCUAACUUCGUGCCAGCAGCCGCGGUAAUACGAAGGGGGCUAGCGUUGUUCGGAAUCACUGGGCGUAAAGCGCACGUAGGCGGACUUUCAAGUCAGGGGUGAAAUCCCGGGGCUCAACCUCGGAACUGCCUUUGAUACUGUUGGUCUCGAGUCCGGAAGAGGUGGGUGGAAUUCCUAGUGUAGAGGUGAGAUUCGUAGAUAUUAGGAAGAACACCGGUGGCGAAGGCGGCCCACUGGUCCGGUACUGACGCUGAGGUGCGAAAGCGUGGGGAGCAAACA